rnacentral:rRNA from 1 species
AGCAUUGUUCGGAAUCAUUGGGCGUAAAGCGAGCGCAGGCGGAUUGAUAAGUCAGGUGUGAAAGCCCGAGGCUCAACCUCGGAACUGCCUUUGAUACUGGGUGUCUUGAGUAUGGUAGAGGUUGGUGGAACUGCGAGUGUAGAGGUGAAAUUCGUAGAUAUUCGCAAGAACACCAGUGGCGAAGGCGGCCAACUGGACCAUCACUGACGCUGAGGUGCGAAAGCGUGGGGAGCAAACAGG